rnacentral:rRNA from 1 species
UACGUAGGGGGCAAGCGUUGUCCGGAGUUACUGGGCGUAAAGCGCACGCAGGCGGUCUCUUAAGUUUGGAGUGACAGUUGGUGGCUUAACUGCCAAAGUGCUUCGAAAACUGAGAGACUUGAGGGCUUCAGAGGGACACGGAAUUCCGGGUGGAGUGGUGAAAUGCGUAGAGAUCCGGAGGAACACCAAAGGCGAAGGCAGUGUCCUGGGGAGUACCUGACGCUCAGGUGCGAAAGCCAGGGGAGCGAACAGG